CAGUGUUUAUGGGGGCCCACAAGCUGAAAUGUUGCAAGAAUAAACAGUUAAAAGCUCUCACAGAUUGUAAGGAUAACAUAAAACGGUAUUUGGUAGAAGAUUAAACAAGUUUUAAUUCAAUUUAAAGAAGAGGUUUGAUGUGAUAAAACACCUGCAGGAAGUUUAUUUACUUAAAAAAACAAUACUUCUACAUUGUGUUGUUAUCGUUGUUAUUCUACAAUUGCUCUUAUUCAGCGGAAUGUGACUGAUAACCUGACAAACCAGUUUUUGUUUAUAUUUGGUGUGAUAUAUUUCAAUUGAGAAGGAAAUAUUCAAUUGUGAUGGCAGGAGCUUAUCAAGCAGGGCAGACAGAAAUAAUUAGUGGAAAAAUAUUUUUUAUAGAAAGUGAUGGAUUACAUGAUAACCAUUGAUUGACAACUGGUUAUCUAUAUAUCAGAAGAAGUAGAAUUUAAAUACCUUUCUAAUGAUACCAUACAACAUCUUCUAAACAGUAAUCACGUCAUAAACUUAAUGACAAACUUCAUUUUCCACUUCAUUUUCUGUUCAUGCUUGGUUCGUUAAUCUGGAAUUAAAAUGAAUGUCGCCGUCUAUAAAUAUGGGCAUAAAAUAUUCACAAUGGGGAAAGAAACAAGUGUUGGGCACGUCAUAGUAUCAACAUAUUGUCGUAUGAUUCUGCGAUUAUCCCCCCUCGGACGCGAACAUCACCCUUAAGCCAACGCAAACGCCUACGACUUUGACCGACUUUACAAGAGUUAUUUAUACGAAUUCAGUCUUGAUAUAAUUACAAUAUUAUUAAUAA